rnacentral:rRNA from 1 species
CCUACGGGGGGCUGCAGCAACGAAUCUUCCCCAAUGCCGGAAACGGUGAGGGAGCGACGCCGCGUGAAGGACGAAGUACUUCGGUAUGUAAACUUCUGUAAGGGACAUGAAAGAUUAGCGCCUAACACGCGCAAAAUUUGAUCUGUCCCCUAAAAGGGGCGGCUAACUCUGUGCCAGCAGCCGCGGUAAUACAGAGGCCCCAAGCGUUACUGAGAAUCACUGGGUUUAAAGGGUGCGUAGGUGGCGCGUUAAGUCCGUUGUGAAAGCCCUGGGCUCAACCCAGGAACUGCUUCGGAUACUGGCGCGCUUGAGGCUAGUAGGGGUCACUGGAACUGACGGUGGAGCGGUGAAAUGCGUAGAUAUCGUCAGGAACGCCAAUGGUGAAGACAGGUGACUGGGCUAGUUCUGACACUGAGGCACGAAAGCGUGGGGAGCGAACGGGAUUAGAUACCCGAGUAGUC